GGUGACUGUUGUUUAUUCAACAGGUGGAGGGGUGACUGCUGUUUAUUCAACAGGUGGUGGGGUGACUGUUGUUUAUUCAACAGGUGGAGGGGUGACUGCUGUUUAUUCAACAGGUGGUGGGGUGACUGUUGUUUAUUCAACAGGUGGAGGGGUGACUGCUGUUUAUUCAACAGGUGGAGGGGUGACUGCUGUUUAUUCAACAGGUGGAGGGGUGACUGCUGUUUAUUCAACAGGUGGAGGGGUGACUGCUGUUUAUUCAACAGGUGGUGACUGCUGUUUAUUCAACAGGUGGAUGGGUGACUGAUGUUUAUUCAACAGGUGGAGGGGUGACUGCUGUUUAUUCAACAGGUGGAGGGGUGACUGUUGUUUAUUCAACAGGUGGAGGGGUGACUGCUGUUUAUUCAACAGGUGGAGGGGUGACUGUUGUUUAUUCAACAGGUGGAGGGGUGACUGCUGUUUAUUCAACAGGUGGUGACUGCUGUUUAUUCAACAGGUGGAGGGGUGACUGCUGUUUAUUCAACAGGUGGAGGGGUGACUGCUGUUUAUUCAACAGGUGGAGGGGUGACUGCUGUUUAGUCAACAGGUGGAGGGGUGACUGCUGUUUAGUCAACAGGUGGAGGGGUGACUGCUGUUUAUUCAACAGGUGGAGGGGUGACUGCUGUUUAUUCAACAGGUGGAGGGGUGACUGUUGUUUAUUCAACAGGUGGAGGGGUGACUGCUGUUUAUUCAACAGGUGGAGGGGUGACUGCUGUUUAUUCAACAGGUGGAGGGGUGACUGCUGUUUAUUCAACAGGUGGAGGGGUGACUGUUGUUUAUUCAACAGGUGGAGGGGUGACUGCUGUUUAGUCAACAGGUGGAGGGGUGACUGCUGUUUAUUCAACAGGUGGAGGGGUGACUGCUGUUUAUUCAACAGGUGGUGGGGUGACUGCUGUUUAUUCAACAGGUGGAGGGGUGACUGCUGUUUAUUCAACAGGUGGUGGGGUGACUGUUGUUUAUUCAACAGGUGGAGGGGUGACUGCUGUUUAUUCAACAGGUGGAGGGGUGACUGCUGUUUAUUCAACAGGUGGAGGGGUGACUGCUGUUUAUUCAACAGGUGGAGGGGUGACUGCUGUUUAUUCAACAGGUGGUGGGGUGACUGCUGUUUAUUCAACAGGUGGUGGGGUGACUGCUGUUUAUUCAACAGGUGGAGGGGUGACUGCUGUUUAUUCAACAGGUGGUGGGGUGACUGUUGUUUAUUCAACAGGUGGAGGGGUGACUGCUGUUUAUUCAACAGGUGGAGGGGUGACUGCUGUUUAUUCAACAGGUGGAGGGGUGACUGCUGUUUAUUCAACAGGUGGAGGGGUGACUGUUUUGUCAUUUUUUAAAUCCCAGAUUGCCCUUUUAAGAGUAGAAUUACAUUCCAUGUAUGAUGAUACUGUGAUCUACAAUGAUAAUACUGAUAUUAAUACUGUGAUCUACAAUGAUAAUACUGAUAUUAAUACUGUGAUCUACAAUGAUAAUACUGCUAUUAAUACUGUGAUCUACAAGGAUAAUACUGAUAUUAAUACUGUGAUCUACAAGGAUAAUACUGAUAUUAAUACUGUGAUCUACAAGGAUAAUACUGCUAUUAAUACUGUGAUCUACAAUGAUAAUACUGCUAUUGAUACUGUGAUCUACAAUGAUAAUACUGAUAUUAAUACUGUGAUCUACAAUGAUAAUACUGAUAUUAAUACUGUGAUCUACAAUGAUAAUACUGCUAUUGAUACUGUGAUCUGGAAUGAUAAUACUGAUAUUAAUACUGUGAUCUACAAUGAUAAUACUGAUAUUAAUACUGUGAUCUACAAGGAUAAUACUGCUAUUGAUACUGUGAUC